rnacentral:tRNA from 1 species
GGGAUCGUGGUGGAACGGCAGACACGGCUGAUUUAAGGUCAGAAGCAUCAUUAUGAUGCACUUGGGGGUUCGAGUCCCUCCGGUCCUA